GAGCAACAUAUUUUUUUUAAACAUAUACAUGCAUGUGUUUGUAUUUAUAUAUACAUAGUAAAUAUAGUGCAACCAAUACAACCUCAUGCGUAACACACAGUAUGCACACAUUAUGUAAAGAAAAACUUUUAUUUUAGAUGCAAUUAAUCGCGAGUAAUUGUUUGACAGCACUAAUAUACUGUAUAUAUACUGCAAUUUGCAACUGCAUAGCAACUAAACACAUUAUGUAGUGUUGAGUUUGCAUGUGCAAGCCCUUUUUUUUCAGGUAAUUUUAAAUCACAUUGAAUACGUUUUUGCAUCUACUUUUAUGAAUUUAAUUGCAUGAAUUAAUUUAGUUUAUGAAUUAUGAAUUGUCUUUCUCUCCUGAAAGACUUUCUGUCUUUCUCUCCUCCUACAUGGAGUAAUAAAGGAACACUUAAGGUCCCAUUUGUUAACCAACAUUAACCAAUGAGCAUUGCAUUUGUUAUAGUAUUUAUUCAUCUUUGUUCAUUUUAGUUCAUGUUAGCGAAGGUCCAUUAAAUGUUAACAGAUACAAAUUUUCAAUUGUAUUAAUAUAUUAGUCAGUGCUGAAAUUAACAUUAGGAUUUAUACAAGUAUUUUUCAUUUUUAGGUUAUGUUGCCGAAUGUAGUUAACUAAUGUCAACAUAUGGAACCUUACUGAAAAUUGCACUUAAAACAGGAUCAAUAUGUUCUCCAGCCUCAUGUGAAUGGCACAUUUACUCAACACUCAACCUCAGACUCUUAAAGGACAAGUUAGGCAAGCUUUGAUGCUUUAUCAGGAUUCACUUUGUUUGAUGUGACCUGUUUCAAAAUGAGCAAGUGUUGAAACCUCUGCGUUCAGUUCUUCAUGUUAACCCUUUCUAGUGUACACUGGUAUUCAGAGCUCGCGUGUCAUGCUUCCACUCGAAAUAGUUUUGUUUCCACCUUCAAAGACAGGGACUUCACAUGUCUGUCGCACACUAAGUGAUACCCACAUCAGCUUUGUCUGAUUAUUUGGAUUGUCCAAUGACAUCAUUUUUAUACAAAAUUGGAUUUAAUUUAUUUUUACAUUAAUGCAUCAAAAUAAGUUUAGCAAUUUCAACUUUUUUAUAUUAUACUUAAGGCAGCGUCUGAAUUUAAGAUUCUAAGCUGAAUUGUUGUUUAUUAUUUUAAGUAGUUAAAUUUGUUUAAUUUUACAUUUUUAUGAUCUUUUCGUGGUAUAAUGUCAUGUUUAAUACACUUUAUGAUAUUGAUAAAGAACAACAUAUAUUUUCUUACUAGUUAGGGCAAUAGUAAUCUAAAAAUAAUCAAAAGUCUGAAUACAUUUGCUAAUAUGUGUAAUCCAACAGAUUACUUUACGAACUACUAUUUUCAUAAUGAAUUAUCAGUAAUGAACUACAAGUGAUCUGCCCAGCACUGGUCUUAAAUCAGUGUGAACAGAACAAGGUUUGAACAAAAUAUGUUUUAAAAGAGAAUGGCUAAUUAUAAUUUUUACACAUAAUUUUGUGUGAUUUUUUUUUUUUUUAACAAUAAAAUAAAUUCCAAAAUUCAUUAAUUCAACUGAAAUGCAUAAGCUGAAAUAAAACAAUUACACCAAGUAAAUUAAAGCUAAAUAGAAAUGUAAAAAAGCAUAUUAAUUAAAUAAGUAAAUGAUGAAAGUGGAUAGCAAUGACUAAAGCCUAAACUAAAAUAAAAAAAAAAUAAAAAAAUUCAAAAUAAUAAACAGUGUUGGGGUAAUGCAGUACAAGUAAAGCGAGUUACGUAAUCAGAUUACUUUUUUCAAGUAACUAGUAAAGUAACGCAUUACUUUUUAAAUUUACAACAAAAAUAUCUAAGCUACUAACACAAGUUACUUUGUUUUCCCAUUUAUUCACUGACAGCAGCAAUCAGGAGUGAGGUGAAGAGGCACUUCCUUCAGACUGAGGCUUGUUCAUUUCACUUUUGCACCCUGGCGCCAUUAUGGAGAGUAUCACGAUGCAUGCCUUGAACAUCGGAGUACCCUUGCUCUCUAUGGAGGGUCAGAAAGCUCUCGGAUUUCGUCAAAAAUAUCUUAAUUUGUGUUUCAAAGAUGAACAAAGGUCUUACGGGUUUGGAACGACAUGAGGGUGAGUAAUUACUGACUGUAUUUUCAUUUUUGGUUGAACUAUCUCUUGAAGAUUUGGAUUCUGAAGGUUGUUCUGGUGUUUGCUUAGUAGUUGCAUUCAGUCACUGGCUUGUCUCCGUAAAUCCAGUGGCGCAUGUCUGUAUCUACCUGCCCACAACUGCUUGCUCACGCUUGAGUGCUUGCCCCCUUAACGACUCUCCCAGGGCCAGCCAUUACAAAUACUCACUGAUUUACCUCCCAGCCAGGUGAGCAUAACAUGUUGUCUCGACAGCUGUUCUGUGAAACGCCUCGGGCAUCUGAAUGUUUUAGUAUCUCAGCUGCUGGAGUGUGGAGCAAGCGGCACAAAGGUCAUGGGUUUGUUCUCCAGGAAACACUGAUAUAAUCUGAGCACCGAAUGCACUGUAUGUCCCUAGAAGCAUCGAGCAAAAUCAAUGCCUACAGCCUGUUUUUACAUCUACACUACAGUAGCAGUGCACUAAACCCACACAUGACAGGAAAUUAAAAAGUGUGCUUAAUUAUAUUGUAAUGCAUUUUAGAUCUUAAAGUUUAUAAAGUGCACAUAUAGGGGGGAAAAAUGGUAUUUACAGAUAAUACAUAUUAAUAAAAGGCCACUUAAGUGUAGGCCUACUUUAAGUGAGUUCACUUUUAUUACUAUGUUUCUAAACGUACUUAAGUACACUUUAAAUAAGUGCACUCUGUUAAAAUACUUGUGCUUUAAUCAUCUUUCAUUGUGCUUUCUUAUUUUAAUGUGUAGUAAAGCAUGUGUAAAGUACUUGAUUGUAAUUUUAACUGCAAUGAGUUUUUUUUUUAUUUUUCAUUUAAUGUUAAUAUUAUGUUAUAUUUUAAAUAUAUCACCAGUACACAUGACAUUAACAUAUUUUUUAGUUGAUCAUAAACGCAUGUCGGUACAUUCAGUAGUUCCACUUUAACCAUAUUCCAGUAGAUUUAGGAAAUUAUAUUUAAAGACAUACUUAAGUUUAACUAAUUGAAUUUAAUAUGAAUUUGAACUGUGAUGAUUUAAAAUGCAGUUAAGUGUCUGAAAACAUUACAUUUAGCUCAUUCUUCUUUUAUAAUAUUUCAUUAAUAAUAUUCUUUUUAAAAGUAUACUUAAGUGGACUUCUUUUUCACAAGGGUGGGCUUGAAUGAAAAAAGACUGUCCUCCGCUGAAGUUGUCUUAAGUUGAACUGGUUCUGGGAAGCCUCUGUCUCAGGUGUACGUGGAGCUGAAAAACAGCUUGUGUUCUUGUGAGGGCAGGGAGAGCGUGGAUCACGACACGCUUCUCUCUCAGUCAUCUCCAUUGACAGCGGUUGCUAUGCACAGGACGAGACUGAGAGAUGGUCAUGCGCUUCAGCUGGUACACAUGAAUGAACAUGUCCAUUAUGACCCUGCUGUUACAUACACUCUCAGCCAAUCAUGCAGAUCUUAAAACAGAGUGUACAACCGAAUAUAGCUGCACAUAAACAGCAAUCUAAUGAACAUUCAAAGAGUUCCUUCUCCCCUCACAUCAAAAAAAAAAAAUAAAAAAAAUAAUACAAUAAUAAAAUUCAAAGAUGUAACCGUUAAUAUUAAUUAAUCGACCUGACAAUUUAAUUAAUGUUAACAAAGAUUAAUUCAUAUCGCUCAUUGUUGGUUAAUGCAUUAAUUAACAUUUACUAAUAGACCUCAUUGUAAAGUGUUUCCCAUUUUGCUUGAAGAAACUGAAGCCUAUUUUUAGCACUAUUAAUGAAACUCUUAAACUCUCAUUAUUGAUUCUCAUUACUGUAGCCCAAUAAAAACAAACAAACAGUAUAUUAAUUGAAUUUGAUAGCAUUUAUACGUAAUCGUAUUUGUUUUACAACUUUCAAUUUUUUCUGAAUUAACACAUUUUUUAAUCGUGGUAUUUUUACUGUAAUACAAUAAAAGAUUAUAUUAGAGAAUCUGCGGUAAUCAUAACUUAGAUUUAUGAAAAUUAUAAAUAAAUGAAUAAGACAUCAAAAGACAAUAUCUUAAUGGUCUUAGGCCUCCUUUUUUGUUUAUACUAAAUAAACACAUAUUGAUUUAUUUUUGGUGAAACACUCAGAAAGACUUCACUGAUUUGUUGUUACCAUCGUGUGAGACUUUAGGCGGUUAUUCAGGACAUGUUCUUAUUGAAUAAUACGAUAUCUUUGACAUAAUAAAUGGGUUUUAAUUUAAUGUUUUAGUGCUAGUGGAAAUUUUGGAGAUACAUUUUUUUUUUUUUUACAAGUUGAUUUAUUUCUAAAACUCUUUCACCCAAAACACAUUUUAAUUGAGCUGUUUAAAGAGAACAGAUGAUUGUCUUGUACAGUCUGCAGUGAUAGGUCUUUGCUUGCCUCAUGAGUUACAUAAUCACGCUGAAAUGCCUCACUUUUACAAGUUUGAGCUGAAUUGAAGAGUUGACCUGCUGUAGGGUUCCUGCGGAGAAACAACAUCUGCACUCGAGUACUUACACGUUCAUGUUACCUCUGUCUGUCAGAGCAGGGCAUCAGUUCAUUUUAUCCAUUACCUUUGUCAACUAACACAGACAAACAAACCUUUCAGAAAUACAACAAUCUCUCUGCUCCCACUCUCAGACCGAACAAAACGAGUUGGGAUUGAUCUGUGUAAAUCAUUUAUCAUUGAUCCAGGGUUUCUCUGCGUCUUGUUGAGUCCCAGAUGGAUUCAGCUGACAAUACUGAUUGUGUUGAAGAAUGAGUCCCUUCUGCCGACCACUGAUUUAAGUUUAUUUUCUGUUCCCUUACGCAAUGAAAGUGUGUGUGUGUGUGUGUGUGUAUAUAUACAUACAUACACACACACACAUAUAUAUGUAUAUAUAUAUAAAUAUAUAUAUAUAUGUAUAUGUACACACAUAUAUAUAUAUAUAUAUAUAUAUAUAUAUAUAUAUAUAUAUAUAUAUAUAUAUAUGUGCAUAUAUAUAAAUUAAUGAUCAAUAUAUUAAAUGAUUUAAUGUAUACUGAAAGUCUGCAGAAUAAUAUAUUGUGUUAAUAUAUUACCAUAUAUUAAGUAAUAAUGAGUUUCAUGUAGAGAAAUGUGAGAAUAUAUUUACUUCCAUACUGUAAUGUAUAUAAUUUUAUAUUGAAUGAUACACUUCCUAAUACAUAGAUGUAUAUGUGAAAAUAUGGCACUGUGUAUAUAAAUAUAUU
ensembl:lncRNA